rnacentral:rRNA from 1 species
ACGGGUGAGUAACACGUAGGCAACCUGCCCCCAAGAUCGGGAUAACAUUCGGAAACGAAUGCUAAGACCGGAUAAACAUUUCGCUCGCAUGAGGGGAAUGGGAAACACGGAGCAAUCUGUGGCUUGGGGAUGGGCCUGCGGCGCAUUAGCUAGUUGGUGGGGUAAAGGCUCACCAAGGCGACGAUGCGUAGCCGACCUGAGAGGGUGAACGGCCACACUGGGACUGAGACACGGCCCAGACUCCUACGGGAGGCAGCAGUAGGGAAUCUUCCACAAUGGGCGCAAGCCUGAUGGAGCAACGCCGCGUGAGUGAGGAAGGCUUUCGGGUCGUAAAGCUCUGUUGCCAGGGAAGAAUAAGGGUGUGUUAACUGCACAUUCGAUGACGGUACCUGAGAAGAAAGCCCCGGCUAACUACGUGCCAGCAGCCGCGGUAAUACGUAGGGGGCAAGCGUUGUCCGGAAUUAUUGGGCGUAAAGCGCGCGCAGGCGGUUCUUUAAGUCUGGUGUCUAAGGCUCGGGCUCAACCCGUGUUUGCACUGGAAACUGGAGAACUUGAGUGCAGAAGAGGAGAGCGGAAU